GACGAACGCUGGCGGCGUGCUUAACACAUGCAAGUCGAGCGGAGCGGCGAACGGGUGAGUAACGCGUGAGUAACUGCCCCCCUCCCUGGGAUAACAGUUGGAAACGGCUGCUAAUACCGGAUAGUGGGGGAUGACUCGCGUCCUAUCAGCUUGUUGGUGGGGUAGUGGCCUACCAAGGCGACGACGGGUAGCCGGCCUGAGAGGGCGACCGGCCACAUUGGUCUGAGAUACGGCCCAAACUCCUACGGGGGGCAGCAGGGGGGAAUAUGGCACAAAGGGGGAAACCGUGAGGCAGCAACGCCGGGUGCGGGAGGACGGCCAUCGGGGUGCAAACCGCUUUCAGCCAAGACGCGGUAGUGGCAGAAGAAGCACCGGCUAACUACGUGCCAGCAGCCGCGGUAAUAC
rnacentral:rRNA from 1 species